rnacentral:rRNA from 1 species
AGUGAACGCUGGCGGUAGGCCUAACACAUGCAAGUCGAACGGCAGCACAGUAAGAGCUUGCUCUUACGGGUGGCGAGUGGCGGACGGGUGAGGAAUACAUCGGAAUCUACUUUUUCGUGGGGGAUAACGUAGGGAAGCUUACGCUAAUACCGCAUACGACCUACGGGUGAAAGCAGGGGAUCUUCGGACCUUGCGCGAUUGAAUGAGCCGAUGUCGGAUUAGCUAGUUGGCGGGGUAAAGGCCCACCAAGGCGACGAUCCGUAGCUGGUCUGAGAGGAUGAUCAGCCACACUGGAACUGAGACACGGUCCAGACUCCUACGGGAGGCAGCAGUGGGGAAUAUUGGACAAAGGGCGCAAGCCUGAUCCAGCCAUACCGCGUGGGUGAAGAAGGCCUUCGGGUUGUAAAGCCCUUUUGUUGGGAAAGAAAAGCAGCAGGUUAAUACCCCGCUGUUCUGACGGUACCCAAAGAAUAAGCACCGGCUAACUUCGUG